AUCUAGCCGACGAGUCUCAGACAGGACGAAGCGCGCGUCCUGAAU
rfam:Schistosoma curassoni strain Dakar, Senegal genome assembly, scaffold: SCTD_scaffold0000040